GACGAACGCUGGCGGCGUGCCUAAUACAUGCAAGUAGGACGCAGUUGCGAACGGGUGAGUAACGCGUAGGUAACUACCUAUUAGAGGGGGAUAACUAUUGGAAACGAUAGCUAAUACCGCAUACUAGUAGAUGGACCUGCGUUGUAUUAGCUAGUAGGUAGGGUAAUGGCCUACCUAGGCAACGAUACAUAGCCGACCUGGGAGGGUGAGCGGCCAAACGGGGAAGGGGACACGGCCCCGAAUCCGACGGGAGGCAGCAGGAGGGAAUCUGCGGCAAAGGGGGGAACCCUGACCGAGCAACGCCGCGGGAGUGAAGAAGGUUUUCGGAUCGUAAAGCUCUGUUGUGAAGGAAGCGGUACUUAACCAGAAAGGGACGGCUAACUACGUGCCAGCAGCCGCGGUAAUAC
rnacentral:rRNA from 1 species